GGAUGCGAUCAAACCAGCACUAAAGCACCGGAGCCUAUUAGAACUCCGAAGUUAAGCGUACUUGGACAAGAGUAGUAUUAGGAUGGGUGACCUUAUGAGAAGUUCUUGUGUUGUAUUCC
rfam:Zea mays cultivar B73 chromosome 1, whole genome shotgun sequence.